AGAAAAAGAAAGAAAGAAAGAAAGAAAGAAAGAAAGAAAGAAAGAAAGAAAGAAAGAAAGAAAGAAAGAAAGAAAGAAAGAAAGAAAGAAAGAAAGAAAGAAAGAAAGAAAGAAAGAAAGAAAGAAAGAAAGAAAGAAAGAAAGAAAGGAGAAGCCUGUUUGGAACCACAAUUUUAGGGUGUACAGAAGUGUACAGCUCCUUUUGGAGUGGGGCUGGAAUGGGGUCUCAUUUAAGCAACAGAGAUGAAAAAAAAUAAGCUUGGAUUUUCCUUUUUUUUUUUUCAUGCAUAAUAAUAAUUCUGGGAUUGAAUAUAGCUGGUUGUAUGUAUUUAAUUUUUCCCCUCUAUUUGUAUAUUAAUAUAAUUCUUGUUUAAUCUCUUGACAUUUUAGAUGUAAGAAAUCUUGUAGAAAAUAUAAUUACUGAAGGAUUGCUGCCUCUGUACUUACAGUUUUGUACUUUGGAGGGUUUUUUUUCAUCACAUCCUGACUGUGUUGUGAUGCAGAGCAUAUGUUACUGACAUGAGUGCACUGAGGUCACCACAGCCAUUGCUGAGCUCCUAUUUAUGUAUUUUUAAAAGGAGAAGAGAGGGGAAGAAGUUGAACUGUUUGCUGCCAUGCUGCUGUUACGACCUGUUUCGAAGAAACUUCCAUAUGGUAUUUCUGGCUCUAGCCCUUCAGGUUGACUCUCUUGUCCCUGCCCUGAGUCACCGGUGGCACACGUGGCAUGGACGGACGGCGUGAGCAAUGUGGGCUUGGGCAGCAUCUGGCACAUUGGACUCUUUUUCGUUUCACUGCAAAUGGACAGCAGGCAGUCCCUGCAUGGAUAGCACUCACUGUCAGGAGACAAUUAUUUUCUCAGAAGACUUUCUACGUGACUUAUAUGCAAACCAUGAGGGUGGCAUCAUCUCCAGAUUACACACAGGAACUGAGACCCGUGUCAGAAGUGUCCAUGUUGUGUGCGUUAACCAUUUUGGAUGGACAGCUUGAGAUGCUGAGGACCCAGCUUUUGGAGCAGCUGACAUUAUUUGGCACUUUCUCUAAUCAAAGCCAGGUAACCCAAGACAUCCACCUCCUUACAGGAAGCCUAAGCAACUGUUUUUGGAUCGGUUCAUUGAGCUCCUAUGAAACUGUGCUUGAGCAAGACGCAUCCAUCCACCCCUCUACAUUCAGAAAUAAAUCUGGAAAGUAUACAGCUUUGCUGCUUCCAAGAGGAAGUUUGUUCAGCAUUGAUUAUGACUGGAGAGGCAUUAUCCUUAUUAUAUCAUCUCCAUUGACAUAAAGAAAUAGAAGGGAGACAGAAGUUAGCUGUAUCUUUUAAAGUGGCUCAGGAAAGCCGGUGUUUCUUGUAUUCCUCUGGUGGCAUAAGAAGAGAUUCAUGUUGUGAACUCUCUCUGCAUUUUUGUUUGAUUUUUUUCCCAGCCCCAGCAUCACUCUCUGUCACCCAUAUGUAACUUGUCCACGCUUAUCACACCAUGAUUGAUGCAAGACUAUGUGUGUAGCUUUAUGGCCUGUCAUCUGCCUGUUAACAAAUGCGAUGGGUACAUGAGUUAUCAGCAGUAGAGCUAGGUGCUUUGAGUUAUUCCAGGGACUCAGAGUUGCUUUUGUAGGAUGCACCAUAUUUUAUAUCACGUCUGCAGCACUGUUCCUUGCCGCUGUAAUACAUCAUCAGCUUUUCCUCCAGAGAGUAACCUCUUCUAUGUGGUUUCACUGAGGUUGUCUUUCUCUGCUAGCACAUUCCCUGACGAGGUGAAGUACUUCUCAAAUGCGCCGCAUAUUUGACAACUACCGUCCCAGGAGUUAGGCAGACCUUAAGGAUUAGACCUGGGAGUUUCCCUCAAGAACCAAAAAGUAUGUUUUUUUUCAGCCAGUGAGGGUUAACAUUCCCUCCAGCAAGAAAUACAGUUUUUAUGGUUUAGCCCUGGUAGCGGCAUGUCAGUUAAAUCCGUAUGAAAACAUGACCCAGCCAUUUGUCAGUAUUUCAGGGCCAGAUGGCAAGGCCUCGUGGCAAGGCCUCGUGGCAAGGCCUCAUGCUGACCUGCAUCGCGGGGAACACUACACUUUGAUCUUCACUUCUGGUUAGCCCAGGCUCCUGCCAAGCUCCUUGCCCCCCCAGCCUCUUUAUGUACCACUGAGCAGGCUGAUUAGCUGUGCGUGUGAAUUUUCAGUCCUCCUUUGUCUUUAUUCAUUUUGUUGAAAGGCUCUCUUUCCCUCCAAAGCCUUUUCUCAUGCAUCGGCGUUGCGGCCCCACCUGCUCCAGAAACAUGCCUGAAGAUGACAUGUUAUACCCAAGCGAACAAAAUGUUUAGUAUGUUAUUCGAAGUCCUUUGAUAUUUACCAUUUAUAUAACGUAGGGUUUGGUUAAAAUUCUCGUCUCACCAAAAAAUUCCCGAGUUCUUCUUCCACCAGUAACGACCAUGCGACAUGUCCUGUUUUCCCACAGCAUUUAUUACAUCCAUUUAGACUCUGCUGGGGACACAGACGAGGAUGAGAAAGAAACUGAGAGGUGCUGAGCUGACAGGAUACAAGCAAGAGGGACUCUAAGGCACCGCAUGGACUGUGCAGGGUGGGACAGGCAGACAAAAGAGGCACUCAGCCUAAUUGCUGUUUGCAGGAUGGUGUCACACUAAAACAAACACAGUUAUUUAAAAGGAAUUAAAAGCCAGAGAUUAAAAUGUCCUUGAUAAUGGCAUCAUAACUGUACAUGCCCUUAGAUAACCGUCACCUGUGCUCUCCAGUAAAGGGGAAGAGACCUCUUACUUCUCUUCAGAAGUCUUCACCUUCACUGAAAAUGGUGGAUUUUGUCUGUGCCGGAAUCUCUAAAAGGUACAAGUCUCUUUAAAAGGGAGAAAUAAUAUUUUCUCAUUGUGUCUGUUUAGUAACACUAAUGAACCAGUGGUAUUUGAUAUGUUGUGGGAGUUCCUGACAAUAGAUCCACUUCACAAGCCUUUGCCUUGUGCCUAAGCAAACCAGUAUGUCAGUCUGACCUUCAAGAAGCUGGAAUCCUUUGUGCUGGUUGCAGCUCUCCUGGAUGUCCUCUUUGUCUUUUCUUAUGAAUAAGCAAAGCCUGUUAAACAAUGUUUGCUCAUUAUCAAGCUUUCCAUUCUUAAGAAAGCAGGGAUAUUCUUUCCCUUUAAGGUUGUUUGUUCUACUUCUCGGUGGUACUAAUUUCCAGUAUACUGGCAGGUUAUAUAGACAACAGGCUUCAGCAACAGAUUUUCUGUGUCUGAGUCACAGGAUGCAUUAUGGAAAGAAUACAAUGUUCUUUAGAAGGAAUUAGUGUGUACAAUUUAGGACAUAUGCAAUGUAAAAAUUCUCAAAAUGAAGAGGUGGCAAUAACUCACCAUAUUUAUCUCACAGAAAAUAUGGCCAAAAAUGCUUCAGUCUUCUAAGAAAACACAUGAAGUCUCUGACAUGUUUCAUUACAUUUCCUUUUGCAUUGGUUGUGACUGAGUUUGAACGUAGUACCUCUCGACUUUUGUAACCUGAAUCCCAUUCUUCCUAAUAAAAAGCAGCAAAUAACCUCA
rnacentral:lncRNA from 1 species